CAAGGACCGAACGAGUGCUAGGCACUCGGGAACCACCUAUUAGGCCCCUACUAGGUACCAGGCGCUGUACUAAGUGCUGGGGGGGGGGGGCAAAAAGCACACACGGGCUCAGGUCCCGCCUCGGUCCUGAGCUAGCCAGGAAGCUGAACUACUUGUCUCCUCAUCUGUAAGGUGGGGGGGGGAAGAGAAGACAGCUGGUCUUUAAGGCUCCCCCGCCUCCCCCCCCACACACACACACACAGUCCGUUCCAUACAGGUAAAGCCUCCUCCAGAUUUUGGCAGAGAAGUCUCCUACACUAUGCUCGGGCCCCUUGAGCUUCUGGGAUUUAGGAAAUCUAUCAGGCCGCUUCUUUCCUGCGUGCCCCCAGAUCAGCAAACUAAAGCCCAGACAGGCGGGAUGGCCUCGGCUUCAGGGUCAGGGCCACACUGUGAACUCUGACGAUUCUCUCCCUAUCCCCCCGGACGACGGCUCCCUGGACCCGGGCCGCAGCAGCCCAGCCCCCGGACAGCAUCAGCGGGCCUGAUCAAACGGUUCUCGGGCCAGCUCUGCCGCUGUUCGCCUGCGGAGAUGGCUCCUGGCAGACGGACAGAAUGUCCCCAAGUCCCUGCAAACUGGAUGCUAAGCCCUCUUCGUCACCGGAAGGCUCCUGCCUUGUUUCCUCCUCUGGAAAGGCCAGCUGUGAUUGCCAUAGCAGAUGACACUAAUACUAAUGGCAAUUCAAGGAGCUGCGACUUCCUCAGUGUGAAGAGACCCUGGGUAAAUCACUGACUCAAUCGGGGUCCCAGUUUCUAUCUUGGAAGAAUGAGGGGGUGGUAGAUCAGAUGAUCUCUACAGUCCACUCCAGAUCUACAAGUCCCUGCUACUGUGGGACAGCACGAACCCCAUAGCCUUGCAGGCAGCCUGGCAAGGCAUGCCCUCUCUUCUCUUUACUAGGCCAGGCCACCCUUGGGGGUGGCAUUCAAAGCCAGACUGCCCUCCAACAUCCCUCCCACCCCCCACCCCAUGCUGCAUCCCAGCAGGGGUUUUGUGGAAGGGAAAUAAUGACACCAGAAUGCGUGCCAGGAAACAUUCCUUGAUGGCCAGUGUGAAGACUGGCCAGAGGCAUGGAUUCUGGGAAACCUUCAGCGUACACUUUCACUACUAGGGAGGUCUUCCUCAAACCCCCUCGUGGUGAGCUUUCCGACCCACCAGACAGCAGCCAAAUCCUCGAGCUCUUGGUGGCCACACAAUGACCAGAUCCUUCAGUGUGACCCUGGGAAGGCCUGAGACCCCCAGGCUCUGGCUGAGGCCCAGCUCUGGCAGGGUCCCAGGAGAAGGGGUCGGGGUGAGCACAGCCCCCGGCCCUGGCAGCCCCGUGCAGCGACAGGGAC